rnacentral:tRNA from 1 species
GAGGGUGUAACUUAGUGGCAGAGCCCUUGCCGAGCAUGCAUGAGACCCUGGGUUCAGUUCCCAGCACUGCUG